GACGAACGCUGGCGGCGUGCUUAACACAUGCAAGUCGAACGAUGAAACCUAGCUUGCUAGGUCGAUUAGUGGCGAACGGGUGAGUAACACGUGACUAACCUGCCCCUUUCUCUGGGAUAACGCUCCCAAAGGAGUGCUAAUACCGGAUACUCACAUCGAGGCACAUGCCUUGGUGUGUAAAGUUUUUCGGAAAGGGAUGGAGUUGCGGCCUAUCAGCUUGUUGGUGAGGUAACGGCUCACCAAGGCGACGACGGGUAGCCGGCCUGAGAGGGCGACCGGCCACACUGGGACUGAGACACGGCCCAGACUCCUACGGGAGGCAGCAGUGGGGAAUAUUGCACAAUGGGCGCAAGCCUGAUGCAGCGACGCCGCGUGAGGGAUGAAGGUCUUCGGAUUGUAAACCUCUUUCAGUAGGGACGAAGCGAAAGUGACGGUACCUAAAGAAGAAGCACCGGCUAACUACGUGCCAGCCGCCGCAGUAA
rnacentral:rRNA from 1 species